GCAACUCUGGAGAGGGGCAUCAAACCCCCACCGAAGGGGCAAAAUUCGCGCCCGCUACCAAGCGUGAUGGGUAGCUGCGAACUAAAACUCUCAGGUUUUAACAG
rnacentral:ncRNA from 1 species